AGCUCCAAUAGCGUAUAUUAAAGUUGUUGCGGUUAAAAGCUCGUAGUUGGAUUUCUGUUGAGGGCGAGCGGUCCGCACUAAGUGCGUGUAUCUGUUACGGCCUCGGCAUCCUCUUGGAGAACACGACUGUGCUUGAUUGCAUGACGUGGAAUUCAAGACUUUUACUUUGAGGAAAUUAGAGUGUUCACGGCAGGCAUAAGCUUUGAAUACAUUAGCAUGGAAUAAUAAUAUAGGACUUGUUUCCUAUUUUGUUGGUUUCUAGGAAACUCGUAAUGGUUAAUAGGGAUAAUUGGGGGCAUUCGUAUUAAGGCGUCAGAGGUGGAAUUCUUGGAUUGCCUUACGACGAACUACUGCGAAAGCAUUUGCCAAGGAUGUUUUCA
rnacentral:rRNA from 1 species